UUGCACACCCCUAACAACCACACUUCAACACAUCUGAACUAUCCCUUUUGAGACAGUCCGACUCGUAACUCCUCCGUAAUUUGUAGUUUUUGCUUUUGGAUAUUUGUACAGAUUAAAACAGACAAGAUAUAACAUGUUAAUCAGCUUUAGAGCUGCUGGUAGGUGGAUUCAUGUUACCCUUUUAACCAGAGUUCCCCUCCGUUUCCAACGCGAGUUCGGUGUCUAUCUGAACAUCUAACUCUCAGCAAGAAAGCGAAGAAGUGCAAACUUGAAAAAUGCCGAGCUAUCACUUUAACUCCUGCUAACGUUCCCACUCUUUCUCUUCGGCUCUGGUUUCCUUUUUUUAUGUUUUGUCUGUGAAGAUGUUUGUCCUCCAGCCCGCUGCACUGCACCGCACGCUGCUCCUCCUUUUUUAAAACAAAAGUUUAUAUAUAUAUAUAUAUAUAUAUGCUUUUUGUUUUUUGUCAUUUUUUUUAUACAGAUUGAUUGAAUUUGUUACUUUUUUGUGUAAAGAAAUGCAAAGAUGAAAAAAGAAAAGUGCAUAUGAAGUUAAAUGUUGCUUUUUGAAACGUCAUGUUCUUAUCAAAUGCCACGGUUCUUGUUUUAAAAAGAAAAACAAAGAUUGUAUGCAAAUGUUUUGGGCAAUAAUGGUAAUAUCUCUCAUCUGGCUGGUGGUUCUCGACGGACGGACGGACGGACGGACGGACGGGAUAUUGCGAUAACGAUAAAAAAGCGAUAUAUUGUGCAGCCCUAGAAAAUAUGCGUUAACGUUGUUGAAUGUCGCAAUAAUGAUAUAUUACUUGUGAUACUUGCUUUCAGUAUUCGGCUAAAAUACAACCAACUGCUUGUUGGAUUUAAAUCAAAUGAAAGGAAAUCAUUCCCAACUUUCUUCUAUUGAACAUUGAAUUUAUACAAAAUGCACCACUAAAGAAAGUGACAGUUACAUUUUAAUGUGCCGUUUUCGACUGAUAUUUUCUUUAAACGAACACAAAAAAGUGCGUGUCCCAGCCUUUUACGAUGUGUUAAUUGUGCCAGUUGAUAUCGCGAUGGCGAUCUAUAUUGUGCAGCCCUAAAAAGAUUUUCAUUUUUAUUAUUGUCGUAUUUUAGGUUAUUUUCUCGAUGAAUCAAAUUAUUUGUUGUACAAAUAUUUAAAUUGACAUUUAUUAUUUUAUUUUUUUAAAUAAUUUUUGGGACAUUUUAGCCUUUAAUAGACAGGAAAGAGGGUAGAGAGAGGGUGGGAAGACAUGCAGUAAAUGGCCGCAGGUCGGACUCGAACCCUGCGUUGAGGACUGAGCCUCUGCAUAAGGGCGCCCGCUCUACCACGUGAGCUACCCAGGCGCCCACAAAUUGACAUUUUGAUAUUGAAAAGACAAAGCCGAAAACCAACAAAAAACAAAGUACUUUUGAGCAAAAAAACAACAUUUUUCUGCUUUUUUGCUUUAAAAAAUAAUUUGGAACAAUGACCAAAAUAUCCAAAUAGGUGCAUAUUAAUUUUCGGUUGAUAUACUAAUCAGUGAAGGUACUAAUCAUUUAUGCAUUGUCCCCGUAAAAAUAAUAAAAUAAAGUACAAUUAAAGUAGUCAAAGUUGGCAGUUGUUCCUGGAUGAGAGAUUUCGUGAUUUUUUUUAAAUUUUUUAAUCUGUCGGGUCAAAUUUGAGCCCAUUUUCAAAAAGUUUCUAUAUCAGAAAUUUGGGUUUCUUUCAACCAAAUUGUCAAAAAGAAAUAAAGUGGAUGUUCAAUACAACGCUCAGUAAGUAAAAUAAAUGAUCUGUCCAUUACUUUCAUUGAAUUUGGGUGUUUUCAAUUUUCUAGCAUUUGAAUUUAUUAUUUUUUUUUUAUAAAAACUUUGAAAAAAGUGACAAAACAUGUCAAAAUAAUCGACAAAAACCUCGGAAAAAGUGAAAAAAAAAAAGCUUCAAGAAUGUCGGCAAAUGCUUCAAAAACGUCAGAAAAAGCUUCAUAAACGUCGGAAAAAGUGAGAAGAAUUUCGGGAAGAGCGACAAAAGUGUCAAAAAAGAAGACUGAAACAUUGAACAGAGAGUUGUAAUUUUAAAUUUCAACCGAGAAAAAACGAAAAGUUGCACGGUCGACUGGAAGACAAAACCGUAAUUGUGUGAACUGGAGUUUCAGCUCUGUUCUUUGUGUUAGACAGAAAACCAAUU